rnacentral:lncRNA from 1 species
CUUCAUGAUAAAACCUUUCAGAUGUCAGCUGCUUUUCCUGAACACCAUCAGAGGCCGAAUAAGCCACCUCUUCAGAUGAAGAUACAGUUUGCCUUGAUCACGCUGUCAUUUAAGCAGCUCCAACAGGCUUUGAAAACACAGGCCCAUAAGACAACAUUCCUUCACCCUUCAGUGCCAGUCCUAACCCUGCUGGUAAGCCCUAAGAGGACUACCCAUCUGUCUUCAGCCUUGUUGAUCAUUUUUCUUCUCAGCUCUCUACUGCAUUAAUUUCUUGCAGAUUAACUUAGCUGAAGCAUCCAUUUCCCUCAGGGGUAGGUAUUCUCCUUGUUGCUUUUCCCACUACAGAUUGAAUUCAGCUGAGCAGUAGCUGAGGCACAGUUAGAAAUAGUAAGAAGGGGCAGGAAAAUGCUGAACUUCGUGAACUUGUAACUCUAUCACCCCACUCUUUGUGAAGGGACUGCACUUUAGGAACAAAAGAUGAAAGUGCUUGGUUGGAACAUAUGACACGAGAGAGUGCUGACUGCAGAGCUGGGCUUUGUGGCCUCUAUCAUGCAAGAAUUUUACCCCUUACAGGGGAAGGCUUGGAAAUCUACACUCAGAGAUUGAAAAAAAAAAAAAAAAGCAUAUAAGGAAGACAUUGUAAAGAGGUUGUAGGUUUUGCAGGACACACACAACUGAUGGUUGAUAAUAGGGGCUGUAAUUGAUUGUGGACUGACAGGGGAGCACUUCACUAAAAUCUAAGUAAUGUUCAGCUUGUUAGAAAGAUCUUGAGAAUACAUCUUAUUUUUGAAAAUAUUUUGGUAUUUUCACUGUCAGUAAACCAGCAAAUGAUUAGAUUGAAGGACACGUUGAUACGAGGAUGUUUGGUAAAACCAGGAUUUACAAAAUUGUUCAUCAUUGUUAUAACAGAGAUUGAUAAAAUACGAUAGUUAAAACCAAACUAGAGCCAAAAUCAGUUGCGAAGCCCACAGCUGAUGCAAGACUCCUGUUGCAAGUCUCACGUAGAAUUUACAAGCUGAUAUUAAAGAAAGGAUGAGAUAUGAGGCUAUUUUAAGCCCAGGCAGAC